AUUGAACGCUGGCGGCAGGCCUAACACAUGCAAGUCGAGCGGAUGAAGGGAGCUUGCUCCUGGAUUCAGCGGCGGCCGGGUGAGUAAUGCCUAGGAAUCUGCCUGGUAGUGGGGGAUAACGUCCGGAAACGGGCGCUAAUACCGCAUACGUCCUGAGGGAGAAAGUGGGGGAUCUUCGGACCUCACGCUAUCAGAUGAGCCUAGGUCGGAUUAGCUAGUUGGUGGGGUUAAGGCCUACCAAGGCGACGAUCCGUAACUGGUCUGAGAGGAUGAUCAGUCACACUGUAACUGAGACACGGUACAGACUCCUACGGGGGGCAGCAGUGGGGAAUAUUGGACGAUGGGGGAAAGCCUGAUCCAGCCAUGCCGCGUGUGUGAAGAAGGUCUUCGGAUGGUAAAGCACUUUAAGUUGUGAGGAAGGGCAGUAAGUUAAUACCUGGCUGUUUUGACGGUACCAACAGAAUAAGCACCGGCUAACUUCGUG
rnacentral:rRNA from 1 species